rnacentral:misc_RNA from 1 species
GGCAUAUGUCACAACGCAAAUCCAGGCAUCGGCUGACACCAGGGACUGUGAAAUUUGCUGCUUACCAUGUUCUCGCUCUCGAGGGAGACAAGGGCUUGAAUGUUCUAGAUAUUGCGGAAAGGAUUCAAAAAUCUGGUUUACGUGACCUUUCAACCAGCAAGACUCCAGAAGCCUCUAUAUCUGUUGCUUUGUCAAGGGAUCCAAUACUUUUUGAAAGAAUUGCUCCUUCAACAUACAAUGUUCGACUUGCUUUUAGGAAGGAUCCUGCUGAUGCUGACGCAAUUAUUUCAGCAGCCAAGGAGAAAAUACAAAGAUAUGCUAAUGGGUUUCUCUCUGGACAAAAUGUUGAAGAUGAAGAAAGAGAUGACGAUUCUGAAGGUGAAGGUGAUGUUGCUGAAGGUCCAGAAGUCGAUGACUUGGGUACUUCAUAUGGUGCUAACAAGAACAAUGAACAAAGCAGCCUACUUGACACCUGCUUGGUGAAUGGAAAAAGUAAGCUAUCUGAUGAGAUUGGACAACAAAUUGGAGUUGAUGUUGUUGGUAUUGCGGUUAGUAACCCCAGCCAAGGCUGUUCAGAAAUUGACGAGACCAAAGCAGGUGAGCCAUGGGUUCAAGGACUCGCUGAAGGUGAAUACUCUGACCUAUGUGUUGAGGAGCGUUUAAGUGCUCUUAUUGCCUUGAUUGGCAUAGCAAAUGAAGGAAAUUCUAUCCGUGCAAUUCUUGAGGACCGUCUGGAUGCAGCAAAUGCUUUGAAAAAACAGAUGUGGGCUGAAUCCCAAUUGGAUAAAAGACGAUUGAAGGAGGAGACAAUCAAUAAAUUUAAUGAUAGUUCCUUCAAUGUUGUGGUUGAGGGUAGCCAAAGCCCAUUGGGGUAUCCAAACAAUAAAAAUCAUGGGACAUCACCAACCACACUGGUAAAGGAUGACUCUGCUGGUAUAGUAGACAAUCUUCAGAACCACUUUGAAAGCAUUCCUGCUGAGAAGAGUUCAGCCGCACAAGAAACCUUUGUGGGUCAAUUUGCUGUACCAAGUGGGAAUACAGCAGAAAGGUCACGCAUGCAGUUAAAAUCUUUCAUUGGCCACAAAGCAGAAGAGAUGUAUGUGUACAGGUCUUUGCCUUUAGGUCAAGACCGGAGACGCAAUCGU